UUGAGAUAAUAUGACGCUUCAGAUAAAUGAUGUGCAUAAUUUGGACCAAUGGCAUGAAAAUAGAAAUCCAGCCUCCUUUUUUUGUGCGGAAAUGGGCCCCUACGAUAUCCUGGGGAUGGAUGUUUUAUUCGAAGAAUUCCCAGAAAUUGUGAAUCUCGGUGUACAAGAAUCAACACGAAUGCUGAAACAUUGUUUUUUUUGCUGAAGGUAAUAUUUUUUCCUGUUCCGAGGCAUUUUCCUCAUGUUUGCUUCUAAAAUGUUACUUCCAAGGCAGGCUUGUAUGAUUCAUGGAGUUCAAUUAGCAAGGCUUAUAAUAUUCCACCCAAAGAUUAAUAUUGUUGCAAGGGUAGAGGCAUGCAGUAGCAAGGGUUGCACCGGGGGCGAGGG